rnacentral:rRNA from 1 species
AGUGAACGCUGGCGGCAGGCCUAACACAUGCAAGUCGAGCGGCAGCGGGUUCCCGCGAGGGGAUGCCGGCGAGCGGCGGACGGGUGAGGAACACAUCGGAAUCUGCCUGGUUGUGGGGGAUAACGUAGGGAACUUACGCUAAUACCGCAUGAGACCCUGAGUCGACGGACUGGGGGUGAAAGUGAGGGACCUUCGGGCCUCACGCGACCAGAUGAGCCGAUGUCGGAUUAGCUAGUUGGCGGGGUAACGGCCCGCCAAGGCGACGAUCCGUAGCUGGUCUGAGAGGAUGAUCAGCCACACUGGGACUGAGACACGGCCCAGACUCCUACGGGAGGCAGCAGUGGGAAUCUUGGACAAUGGCGCAAGCCUGAUCCAGCCAUG